GGCGAACGCUGGCGGCGUGCUUAACACAUGCAAGUCGAACGGAAAGGCCCUGCUUUUGUGGGGUGCUCGAGUGGCGAACGGGUGAGUAACACGUGAGUAACCUGCCCUUGACUUUGGGAUAACUUCAGGAAACUGGGGCUAAUACCGUAUAGGAGCUCCUGCUGCAUGGUGGGGGUUGGAAAGUUUCGGCGGUUGGGGAUGGACUCGCGGCUUAUCAGCUUGUUGGUGGGGUAGUGGCUUACCAAGGCUUUGACGGGUAGCCGGCCUGAGAGGGUGAACGGCCACAUUGGGACUGAGAUACGGCCCAGACUCCUACGGGAGGCAGCAGUGGGGAAUAUUGCACAAUGGGCGGAAGCCUGAUGCAGCAACGCCGCGUGCGGGAUGACGGCCUUCGGGUUGUAAACCGCUUUCGCCUGUGACGAAGCGUGAGUGACGGUAAUGGGUAAAGAAGCACCGGCUAACUACGUG
rnacentral:rRNA from 1 species